rnacentral:rRNA from 1 species
AUUGAACGCUAGCGGCAGGCCUAAUACAUGCAAGUCGAGGGGUAGAGAAGAGCUUGCUUUUCUUGAGACCGGCGCACGGGUGCGUAACGCGUAUGCAACCUACCUUUAUCAGGGGGAUAGCCUCUCGAAAGAGAGAUUAACACCGCAUAAAAACACAGUACGGCAUCGUACAAUGUUCAAAUAUUUAUAGGAUAAAGAUGGGCAUGCGUGACAUUAGCUAGUUGGUGAGGUAAGGGCUCACCAAGGCGACGAUGUCUAGGGGAUCUGAGAGGAUGACCCCCCACACUGGAAAUGAGACAAGGACCAGCCUCCUACGGGAGGCCGCGGUAAAGAAAAUUGGUCAAGGGGGGCAACCCUGAACCAGCCAUGCCGCGUGCAGGAAGACGGCCCGACGGGUUGGAAACUGCUUUUAUACGGGAAUAAACCCCUUUACGUGUAAAGGGUUGAAUGUACUGUAAGAAUAAGGAUCGGCUAACUCCGUGCCAGCAGCCGCCGUAA